GAUGAACGCUGGCGGCGUGCUUAACACAUGCAAGUCGAACGGAAAGGCCCAAGCUUGCUUGGGUACUCGAGUGGCGAACGGGUGAGUAACACGUGGGUGAUCUGCCCUGCACUUCGGGAUAAGCAUGGGAAACUGGGUCUCAUACCGGAUAGGACCACUACUUGGAUGUUGUGGUGGAAAGUUUUUUCGGUGUGGGAUGAGCUCGCGGCCUAUCAGCUUGUUGGUGGGGUAAUGGCCUACCAAGGCGUCGACAGGUAGCCGGCCUGUGAGGGUGUACGGCGACAUUGAGACUUAGAGACGGCCCAGGCUCCGACGGGAGGCAGCAGUGGGGAAGAUUGCUCAAUGGGCGCAAGCCUGAGGCAGCGACGCCGCGUGGUGGAUGACGGCCUUCGGGUUGUAGACACGUUUCGCUAGAGUCGAGGCGGUUUGUGACGGUACCUGGAGAAGAAGCACCGGCUAACUACGUG
rnacentral:rRNA from 1 species